AUUGAACGCUGGCGGCAGGCCUAACACAUGCAAGUCGAACGAGUGGCGGACGGGUGAGUAAUGUCUGGGAAACUGCCCGAUGGAGGGGGAUAACUAAUGGAAACGGUAGCUAAUACCGCAUACCAUCGGAUGUGCCCAGAGGGGCUUAGCUAGUAGGUGGGGUAAUGGCUCACCUAGGCGACGAUCCCUAGCUGGGCUGAGAGGAUGACCAGCCACACUGGAACUGAGACACGGUCCAGACUCCUACGGGAGGCAGCAGUGGGGAAUAUUGCACAAUGUGCGCAAGCCUGAUGCAGCCAUGCCGCGUGUGUGAAGAAGGUCUUCGGAUGGUAAAGCACUUUAAGUUGGGAGGCGUUACCAACAGAAUAAGCACCGGCUAACUUCGUGCCAGCAGCCGCGGUAAUUC
rnacentral:rRNA from 1 species